rnacentral:rRNA from 1 species
GAUGAACGCUGGCGGCGUGCCUAAUACAUGCAAGUCGAGCGAACGGACGAGAAGCUUGCUUCUCUGAUGUUAGCGGCGGACGGGUGAGUAACACGUGGAUAACCUACCUAUAAGACUGGGAUAACUUCGGGAAACCGGAGCUAAUACCGGAUAAUAUUUUGAACCGCAUGGUUCAAAAGUGAAAGACGGUCUUGCUGUCACUUAUAGAUGGAUCCGCGCUGCAUUAGCUAGUUGGUAAGGUAACGGCUUACCAAGGCAACGAUGCAUAGCCGACCUGAGAGGGUGAUCGGCCACCCUGGAACUGAGAACCGGUCCAGACUCCUACGGGAGGCAGCAGUAGGGAAUCUUCCGCAAGGGGCGAAAGCCUGACGGAGCAACGCCGGGGGGGUGAUGAAGGUCUUCGGAUCGUAAAACUCUUUUUUUAGGGAAGAACAUAUUUGUAAGUAACGGUCCCAAUCUUGACGGUACCAAAUCAGAAAGCCACGGCUAACUACUG